CUCUAUCCUAUCGUUUACUCCUUACCCCACCCACCUCCCUAUUUUCUCCAUAUAAGCCGACAUUUUCCCUGCUACCGUCAGUUCUGAGGAAGGGUCACUGGACCCGAAACGUUAACUCUGGUUUCUCUUCACAGAUGCUGCCAGACCUGCUGAGCUUUUCCAGCAAUUUCUGUUUUUGUUGUUUAUAACAAUUGAACUUGUUUAGAAAUGGAGGCAGUAAUUGUUGUUUAAAUAAAUGGCUGACUGUUUAACAGAUGGCAACAAUAUCAGCUACUGUUGUUUGAUCUCAAAUGCUGUCAGCCUAUUUGUAAUUACCCAGUGCAAGUCCUUAUCACUGUGCCCUUCCUGUUGGCUUCUUUGUUGACUAUCUGAUGUCGUCAUUCUACUGAGCUCUUCUUGCUCAACUCCACCAUCUUAUCUGUUGGCUUUUUUCCCAGUUAUGACCCACUUCCAGCAACUGCUGCCUGUACUGAUCCUCAGCAAUGCUUGCUUAAUCCCUGCUUGUUGAGAUUUUGUCACAUUACAGGCCGUGUUACUUUAGAUAAAAGCCUAGAAGUUUGUUGACAGUAUUGUAUUGGUAGCAUUGCACAUCAACAUUCUUCAGCCAUUUCGACACUAGCCUUAGUUUUAAAUGCAUGCAUGCCAUUAAUGCAUUAACUUUAAAAUUCUCACCAUCUCUUUCAGACCCGUCUGUGCUUUCAAUUAUGCCGAACAAGAUUUUCCUCACGGAUUGACAGAAUUCCGUCUGGGGUCAGAAGCCCACCCUUUGUGGGGAAUGAUAACCCAGUUGUGAUUUGCCCUGAAUUGACCCAAAUAAUGGCCGAAGGACUAGUUCACUGUCCAAUUAAGGACAGCAUGCAGGUUUUCAAAACUGCUGCUGGUUGCAAUUGUGGCCAGUCAGAAAGGUGGAGCUUCUCAGCAUGUGUGCAGUGUUGCCCACUCAGUCUGACACUGGGAGGCCACCUCCAGGCACCUGUACUGUUCCUCGUCUUCUUGAUUUGAUUUGAGUAUUCAUCACAAUUUUCUUCUCAUCGGCCCAAUUGCCAAUCGUGCACUGGGACUGUUCAGCUGCGUGUAAAUGAAGGCUGACCUUUCACUGAAAACAACAAAAUGCUGGAGAUCACAGCAGCAACCAGUGACAAUCAGUCUUCAAAGGAAAACCGAAGAAACUGACAGAUCCUUCAGAAACCUGUUUGAUAAUUAAAGAUAUUAGCAAAGAACUGCACACGCGCGGGCCAAAGCUGAUGCAGCAGAUGGAGCCGCACAAGCUGCACGCCAGGAAUCGGACAUUGCAAGGGGAGUUGCCAGGGAACUGUCACCAACCUUCUGCCAGCCAGGACUAGAAUACAUUAAGCAGAGGAUGCAGGAGGCAAUGGGAUACAAUGAGAAGAAGGAAGAGCCUCCACCUCCACAAGAGAAGAAAUCUUCUUCAGCAAAUAACAACAGUCCUCAUUUCUACAGGAAAGGUACAACUCCACCAUAUACUCCUGAACACAGUCCUGCCCCGACCCCACCUCCAUCACCACCAAUAUACAAGAAGACUCAAAAUACCACCUGGAAUAAAGGCUCUUCCAGCAGUGUUAACAAGGAUGUCUUGGGAGCGUCAGGGAAUAGAUCAUUGUCAAAAGGCAGCACCAAGAUGACUACAAAGCAAGGGAACGAGUGGAAGCAGCCCAAGUCAGCGGUUUACCCUGUCACAACUGCAGGCAAUGGACAGUUACAUAGUGCUUACCAUAGUUACCUUGUGCGCACAGAUGUAAAACUGCCACCAGAAGAGCCAGAGGAACAGGCUAACCCUUCACCCCUGGCGCUUGGACGGUUACCACCACCGCCAAAGCCAAUGCCUACAAAGUCACCUGUCAAGGAAAUUAAACCUGAGCCAAAAUUGAAGAAACAGUUUUCUGUUGUAUUGCCCGAACCAAAGAAACUAUCAAAAUCUCAAUCACAUGACGUGGAAGAAGUAGAAGAAAUUGUGGAGUCGAGUCCAAAUACCAUCUUGGUUAUCCUGGUUAUGCUGUUGAAUAUUGGUUUAGCUAUUCUUUUUGUCCAUUUUCUGACUUGACAAGAAUUUGCCAAGUGAAGUCAUGAAAACUAAGGGUAUUAGCCCCAAUUCUCUCCAGUUGUGCCAUCAGCCUUAUUAUUGACACCAGACCUGCUGAGUUACAGGGAAAGAGUCUUGGAAUUGGUGUGGGACUCAGGAAAGAUGAGACAUGGAAAUUAAGUCAGGGGCUGAUGUGGGCCCCAGUGAUGAUUUGCGGCUCUGGAUCCUCUGAAAACUGAAGCAAGUGGCCACGUCGUUGGAAAAAAUCUGCUGAACCAGCCUAACCACUGAAGUGCAUGGCUGCUCCAUCUGUUCUAGUGGAGUGUGACUUAACUGGAAAUGUACAGACUGCACUUUUGUUGAUGGACAUUAACAGCUGCCUUACUUUUUUACUGUCUCAACGUUUAGUUGGGAGAAGGGAACCGCUGCCAGAGGAAUGUGGUUGGACGAUUCUGUGCUGUGGAUGCAAUUUCCAGUUGUCUCUCUUAACGCAUUAGACAUACAUUAGCAGCAUCACUCAACCAGUCUUAUUCCAUUACUGGCUGCUCCUAACAUCAUGUACAAUGUUCUGGGAGAUCAUUUUGAAAACGUUCGCACACUUUAUGCAUGAAAACUAUGAUUUUUUUUUGUCACAGAUUAAACUUUUCUGUCCAACAUUUAGAGCAUUUGUUUAGAUCAAUCCGAGUUGAUUUCCUUUGCUUUCAGUGAUCGAACUAGGAGCCUACAUUCAGUUUAUGUGAUUACUGAAAUGCUGGUGACCAGUAACCCAAAUUAUCAUAUAUGUCAACACUGAGAAACCACCAGUUAAUGAAGGAAUUUGUUUGCAUGUAGAUUUUUUUUUCCAAAGUGAAGUAAAUCUUAUUGUGUUGAAUACAUUCAGGUAGAGCAUUGUAAUUUUAAUGUUAACAGAACUGAUGCCUUUAUAAGUCUUCAGAAAUUAUAAUGUUUACCUCAAACAUAUUGUUUUUUUUCUGGAAUGCUGGUUGAAUCUUUGUGUCUUAAUCAUUUUAAGUGACACUAAUUAAUGUAGUUAAGGAUUAUUUCUGUACCAUUACCUUGUAUCACUUUUCAUGUUCUUGUGUUGGCAUGUUUAUUUCAAAGGGUUGAGUAUUUGGUGUGGUUAAUUUUAGACGAAAACACUAGAUUUAUUUUAAUCAUAAAAAAUGCAAGGGCUGAAUAACUUAAAAGUAAAUUAUAUAUAUGUGUUGAAGAACGAUUUCGUAUUCCACAAGUACUGAAUUUAAAUGUAAACUGUAUGUUAGUUUGCAUGGUUUUAUUGCAAAACUUUGUCAUUAAUACCCAAAUUAAAUUAACAACAUGAAGCUGGCGGUUUGUGGAGUGUAUAAAUGCUACAUAAUUUAUUAUCUGAAAUCAGCCUGAUUUCAGGUCAGUAAUAGAUGGUGUUUUUUUGCAGAGGUAUUUUCAGAAUCCUUUGUGUGACCAGUGCGAAGUGUGAAGGAGAAAGUUCAAAGAGAUGAAAUAAAAAGAAUGAAAGACAAAUUGUUGCCAAUGUACAGCGAAUCUGACUAUGAUUUAAUUGGAAAUUAACACAAUAUGUCUUUGGGUCAGUGCAAAUGUAAUAAAAGCUUAUGUAAACCUUUUUGUCUGGCACAAAAAUCAAGAGUAGUUGGGAAUGUUUUUUUUGACAUGAAGUCCAUUUUAGUAAUUUAAUUUAAGAAAAGGAUUUUCUUAUAUAUUAAAAUCAUGAGCUUUUCUAAGGAGCAUGAGCCAGAAACUGUUGGGGUUUUUCUAAAUGUACACAACUCUAUUUUAGCAUGAACCCUUUUCUUCUUUUUUAAAUAAAUGACAUGCUACAUACUGCUUUAUAUUUAUCUAAUGAUGCUUCAAGUGGAUAACACUUGACAGUUGUCA